ACGAGUUUGAUCCUGGCUCAGGACGAACGCUGGCGGCGUGCCUAACACAUGCAAGUCGAGCGGAGGUAACCGAGGAGUAAUCUGAGGUUAUCUGAGCGGCGGACGGGUGAGUAACGCGUGAGCAACCUGCCUUUUACAGGGGAAUAACGCACCGAAAGGUGCACUAAUACCGCAUGAGACCACAGUGCCACAUGACACAGGGGUUAAAGGAGCAAUCCGGUAGAAGAUGGGCUCGCGUCCGAUUAGGUAGUUGGUGGGGUAAAGGCCUACCAAGCCUGAGAUCGGUAGCCGACCUGAGAGGGUGAUCGGCCACACUGGAACUGAGAGACGGUCCAGACUCCUACGGGAGGCAGCAGUGGGGAAUAUUGGGCAAUGGGGGAAACCCUGACCCAGCAACGCCGCGUGAGGGAAGAAGGUUUUCGGAUUGUAAACCUCUGUUCUUGGAGAAGAGUGGAAGACGGUAUCCAAGGAGGAAGCCCCGGCUAACUACGUG
rnacentral:rRNA from 1 species